AGGGAGGGGCGGAAAGGGCGGGGGCAGAGGUGGGCGGGGCUGAGCGCGAGACACCGCGAGAGCCGCGUGCGCAGGCGCGCCGGGGCGGAGGCCACCUUGGGCCGCGUCGUCACGCGCCGUGGAGAGCGCUGGGCGGGCGGAGCCUUGUGGCCUGGAGUAGUGAAGUCGCCCCGCAGGUUUCCCAAGUCUCGCGUGAUCACGUGGUGGCCCCCACAGGCGGAAGUGUCCGACAGCUCUUUUGGGAUAAGAGGCUUUUAAAGUAUUGCUGGAAACGACGUGAGUUCUGGUGACACUCGAGUUCAAAGCUACCUGGGACCCCUCUUGUCAGAUGUUUCUGCAUCUCCCUGAGCUGGAGGAGCUAAGAAAUAUGGAAGGGGCGCUGGCAAGCUGCCUCGCUAGCAAUGGCUGCGGCGGAGGACUAGUCACGUGACCCCGCUUCCGGUCCCGGAGGCGCUCGGACUCCGGGCAGAGUUUUAAAUGCGGAGUCAUCUCAAGGGAGUGAGCUAGUCUUGUACUUAGAGCUCCGAGGCUUUCAGUCGACUUGCGGAGGGUGGGCCUUUGGCCUGCGAAAUUGUGUGCCUGUUCCUAAAGGGGAGGAAAGCUGGCUUGGGCCCACUGUUAACACAUUGCAGAAUUAGUAACCUCUGAAACCGGCUGAGUUGUCUCCCCCAGUACAGCUAAAAGUCUCUGGGUUUCAUUUCCCUCAAGGUUAGUCCACCUAGUAGACCGUGUACUUUAAGUGAUUUUUUGCGGUAGUGGAAAUGCCAGAAACACACAACAAUGAAACAUGAGCCAUCGGAUAAUGACAGCACCAUAACGUUCCCCCCUUCGUUGUUUUGUUUUGUUUUUUUAAUACUGCCCAAAGUCUGUGAUUCCACGUGGACUGCGUGCAGUGACUAACACCUAAAAUACUUGCCCUUGACCCACCAAUUCUCGUGGCCUCUCGCUGUGAGAGAGCCGGCAGAAAAAGUCCAUGUCUUGGAGUGUAAUUAAAUAGGCGUUUGCCCUGCUCUGCUCAGGCAAAUCACGCCUUUAUGGCAACAUUUCACGCAGAACAGAGAAUGCUCUGUUUGGAAGGCAGAACUCACAGUACCUAAUUCUCUUGUCCGUAGGAAUUUUGAGAGACACGCGGAAUGUAGUCUGGACAAGUGAAGGAGUUUAUCCUCAUAAAGCAAAACGAAAUGUCACAGUUAUAUGCCUCUGAAUGCAGAUUUGGAGAAUAUCAAAGGCAGCUUACCAGAGAGGAAAAUAUGCGACCUGCCAGGACCUGAAGGAAGAAUUUAGAGAAAGCAGAGCCAUUAAUACUCAGAAAAUGGGAAGUUGUCGAUCAUGUUGAACAGUGGAGCGGAACAAAUAGAAAUUAGAACAUAUUUCUGAACUGAGUUCACCAACAAAGCAAAGCUGUAUAUAUCUUCUGCACAUGAGAAGAAGGCAGAUAGAACCGGCCUUUAAGCUGCUGAGCAGAGAUGGAUCUUACGGCAGCUUUAGAGGCAGAAGUUGUGGGCAUGCUGAACUCAACAUUCACGUGACUGGCAAAUCUGGAAGGCACUUCCCGGUCAGAGCCAAGUUCAAGGUGGCAGAAGAAACAGUGUGGGUGACCAGAAGCUAUGAAAGGAAAAGAAUUUAGACAUUAGGUUCUUUGGGGAUGACAUGGAAGAAGAGGCCAAAAGAGCCACUCAAUAGCAAAGGAGGCUCAGCACCAGGCAGUCUUUCCGAGGGUCCAAUGCUGAGCGGAGGACUUACAACAGAAAUCACACUGCCUGUGCCUCAGACCCUUCUGAUUACAGUAGCCUUGUAUCCUAGCAAUAAAACCCACAGCCUGAAAAACCCACUCAAGUCAGGGUGAUAAUGGGAACACAACACAAAUAAUAAGUAAUAGAGGCUGUAAAUUGGCAGGAAGGAAUAAAAGGGAUCAGCACUUAGCACCUAAUAGAGCAUCAAUGACAGCCAUGUGGAGCAAAGUAAUUCAUUCCCUUUGAAAGAUGGAUUUUCUUUUUUUAAUUAAAAAAAAUUUAAUGUUUAUUUUUGAGAGACAGGGAGAGAGACAGAGAGACAGAGUGCGAGCAAGGCAGGGGAAGAGAGAGAGGUAGACAUAGAAUCCAAAGCAGGCUCCAGGCUCUGAGAUGUCAGCACAGAGCCCAACGCGAAGCUCGAACCCACAAACCGUGAGAUCAUGACCUGAGCCAAAGUUGUAGACUUAACUAACUGAACCACCUAGGCACCCAGAAUAUGAAUUUUCUUAAUCAUCUUAAUCAUCUCAUAUUUUUACAAAGAUGCUUUUGGAAUGUCUCUGUGGGUAAAUGGCACACGUAAAUGAUGAAGCCCUUAUAAACAACAGCUUUGCAUUAAGGAAGCACAUGGUAUGCUGGGUAGAACACAGGCCAACAGGACACCGAGUAUGACUUCUAGCUCUCCUGCUAAGUGUCAGAAAUCUUGCACCCACAUCCUUGUUCUCUCUAGCUUUAAGUCCUGAUUUGGGAAGUGGGGAAAUGGAGGUAGGUCAAUGCAAGGCACAGUCCUUUCCUGUUCUUUAAUUCUACAAAUCUAUGGUUCGUUCUACUGUACGUGGCUGAAAAACUUGAGGACCGAUUAGCUAUCUGAGUGAAAAGAGAGCUUAGUUCUGUGACUGUAACCUUUGAAGCAUCGUUGUUUGUUGAGCAUCCUUUACUGUCCCAGCUGCUGUGUGCACACCCUCUCCCCGUAUCUUCAUAACAGUCCCUUGAGGUCAUAGCCAUUCCAGUCUACAGAUGAGGCAACCAAGGCUUCGGGGAGGUAAAGCGAGCCGCCCAAUCAGAACUGCAAAGUGGCAGAAUGAGAACUGAACCCAAGCAGUCAGUCUCCAAAGUGCUUUAGCCACUUUGUCUGAGUCACAGCCACCCUCAUGGUCUCCCAUCUCAAGACCAGGUUUUGCAGGGUGACAUGAGUAGAGAAGUGAGCUGUAAGAACCCCCAUACAACAACUCACCGUGGAUAAACAACGUGACACGGCUUUGACUGUUAUGUAACAGCAAGAGUCCUAAGUUAUCUGAGCUUCCCCAAAUAAACAAUUUCAAUUUUCUU